rnacentral:rRNA from 1 species
CAGCCGCCGCGGGAAUACGGAGGGAGCUAGCGUUGUUCGGAAUUACUGGGCGUAAAGCGCGCGUAGGCGGUUACUCAAGUCAGAGGUGAAAGCCCGGGGCUCAACCCCGGAACUGCCUUUGAAACUAGGUGACUAGAAUCUUGGAGAGGUCAGUGGAAUUCCGAGUGUAGAGGUGAAAUUCGUAGAUAUUCGGAAGAACACCAGUGGCGAAGGCGACUGACUGGACAAGUAUUGACGCUGAGGUGCGAAAGCGUGGGGAGCAAACAGGAUUAGAUACCCCUGUAGUCCCUGUCUCUUAUAC